rnacentral:rRNA from 1 species
GCAUAUCAAUAAGCGGAGGAAAAGAAACCAACAGGGAUUGCCCUAGUAACGGCGAGUGAAGCGGCAACAGCUCAAAUUUGAAAUCUGGCUUCGGCCCGAGUUGUAAUUUGCAGAGGAAGCUUUAGGCGCGGCACCUCCUGAGUCCCCUGGAACGGGGCGCCACAGAGGGUGAGAGCCCCGUAUAGUUGGAUGCCUAGCCUGUGUAAAGCUCCUUCGACGAGUCGAGUAGUUUGGGAAUGCUGCUCAAAAUGGGAGGUAAAUUUCUUCUAAAGCUAAAUACCGGCCAGAGACCGAUAGCGCACAAGUAGAGUGAUCGAAAGAUGAAAAGCACUUUGAAAAGAGGGUUAAAUAGCACGUGAAAUUGUUGAAAGGGAAGCGCUUGUGACCAGACUUGCGCCGGGCUGAUCAUCCGGUGUUCUCACCGGUGCACUCUGCCCGGCUCAGGCCAGCAUCGGUUCUCGCGGGGGGAUAAAGGCCCUGGGAACGUAGCUCCUCCGGGAGUGUUAUAGCCCGGGGCGCAAUGCCCUCGCGGGGACCGAGGUUCGCGCUCUGCAAGGAUGCUGGCGUAAUGGUCAUCAGCGACCCGUCUUGAAACACGGACCAAGGAGUCAAGGUUUUGCGCGAGUGUUUGGGUGUAAAACCCGCACGCGUAAUGAAAGUGAACGUAGGUGAGAGCUUCGGCGCAUCAUCGACCGAUCCUGAUGUUCUCGGAUGGAUUUGAGUAGGAGCGUUAAGCCUUGGACCCGAAAGAUGGUGAACUAUGCUUGGAUAGGGUGAAGCCAGAGGAAACUCUGGUGGAGGCUCGCAGCGGUUCUGACGUGCAAAUCGAUCGUCAAAUCUGAGCAUGGGGGCGAAAGACUAAUCGAACCAUCUAGUAGCUGGUUACCGCCGA